UGCUGGGGUCGUCUUCCAUAGUGUGGCAGCUUUGUUCUUUUGCUCUGUGCUGUAACUCUUGCUACUGCUCACUGUUUGGGUCCACACUGCUUUUAUGAGCUGUAACACUCACCGCAAAGGUCUGCAGCUUCACUCCUGAAGCCAGUGAGACCACGAGCUCACCAGGAGGAACGAACAACUCCAGAUGCGCCACCUUAAGAGCUGUAACGCCUUAAGAGCUGUAACACCGCGAAAGUCUGCAGUUUCACUUCUGAGCCAGCGAGAUGCGAACCCACCAGAAGGAAGAAACUCCAAACACAUCCGAACAUCAGAAGGAACAAACUCCAGAUGCGCCACUGUACAACAAACAAGAAAAACUUUACCAAAAAGGCCAUUCAAAGAGUAUUACUCAACAUGUCAAAGAUAACUGCAUCAUUCUUUGUACUCCCUGGCCCGAAAAUGGUUCAACUUGUCUGAAAAGUGAAGAGGUCAAAUAUGUGCACACAGCCACUUUGCCAAGUGUGGGAAAGAACCAGUGUCUGGACUAGUUCCAAGCCAUCCAGACAGCUAUUUCAACUGGAACAAGUGACCUUUGGAACUGACUAGAACAUAACAGCCUGGCCAGACAGAGGGGAGGGAGUAGGCAGUUGGGAAGGACCCCAACAUGUUCUUCUGAAAGCUCAUUUGAAAUAAGAGGACAAUAAAAAGGACAGAAAUAUGAACUUAAAAAUACAUCAAACCAGUAAAAACUGUGUGACCACAAUAUGGGAUUCAAGAAAAGUUACAGUUUGUGUUUUUAGCUGUCAUUCUUUAAUAUACACGCUUAAAUACUUCUCCAACCCCGUGAGCACAGGCCCUGUCCCUUAAUUACAUAACAUUCAUGUUUGAAUCUUCAUAGCCUCUUUGACACUAAGUAACCAUUAUUUUGUUUUUCCUCUAUCAAUUGGGCCAGACUUCCUUAGUCUAUGAUUCUAUGGUGAUUGUUAGACAAACUUCAAUAAUUACUAAGAGAUUUAUUUAGCAAAUUAUUGCUACAAUAGAAGUUAAAAUAAUAGUAAAUAUUUUAUUGAAAAUGAGAUAGUGGUUAUCUUCUCCCAACAUUUAUUUGAAGGCAUGUUGUUCUUUUCUAAGAGAACAUACAAAAUUUAAGUUCACAUCAUUGGCAAGAAGCAUCUAAAUAAAUAUGCAAUCUUUUAAUGAAUGCUUAUGGACAAAGUGUUGUGCUUGGUAACAAAGAGGAAGGAUGUCAAGGCAAUCCUUCCUUCAAAAUGUUUGAAAAAUGGAGAGCAAAGCUUUUUUAAAAAUGCUUUAUUAAAAAUACAAAAAGAAAGCUGUUUCUUAGACAAUGUGUUAUUGAUUUUUAGAAAAUAUAUUAACUAUCAUAAGUUGAUUAUGUCCAAGGUACUGAGAAAAUACUAUGAGAUUUCAGAGUGCUCUUUCACAGAGAACUUUGUUAUUCCAGUGGGUACUGGAAAAUACUUUUCAGAAGACAACUUCUAUAGCUUCUAAUCAGGCCUUCUUUAAUGAAAAUACAAACCUUUAAAAGUCUUAAUGAAUAUUCCAAGGUGUCUAUAGAAUUGCUUGGAAACUAGAAGAUUUGGUUCAAUGAAUUUGGCAUGUAGAUCUGAAUGAAUGCCAAAAAUGUAGCUAAGGUAAAGGAAAUAAAUUUUUACAAAAUUUGUGUUACAUAGUCUUCGUGGUACUAUUAACUGACAAAAAACACAAUGUUAAUGAUAUAGAAAUAAGAAAUUUGGUUAUUUCAAUUUAUCAUGUAAUGUCAGAAAAAUGAGAAAUGAGCCUUUCAACUCAACUACUUCUUAAGUAUGCCAUUGGAAUUGGCAUAGUAUUGAUUAGAAGCUAAGAAGUAGAGCAGAAAAAAAUGAAUCCAGAGAAAGACAAUGCUGUCUGCUACUUAUGUAAUGUUCAUAUUUCUUAAACUGUAUUUCGAAAGCAAGAAAAUAGACCAUAAAUGAUUUUAGGAGGUGGCGUUCUUGCUAGAUUAAGAAAAUCCCACUUAGAAUUCUAGAGAAAUUAUGCUUUUAGGGAGGGAGUUUCAUUAGUGGAUUAUCACAGACCUUAACAACAAAAGAUCAAAACAUGAAAUAAAUGUACAAGAAUUAAGGUUUGUGUCAAAUUUGUGAGAUGCACUUAGAAGGGUGAGAUUUUAAAUAUUUGUCUGAAGUUAUAUAGGAAGAAGACAUUUUCUGCAUGAGACACAGGGGUCCAAGGGCAAUUCCAACUGUGACCAUCACAUUUGUAAGUUCCCUAUACAGGGUGUAGUUUAGGUGGAGUCUGAAAUUCAGUUGUCAAAAUUGACUCCAAGAUUCUUCAAGUAAUUUAACAGAGGAUGAAGCCCAAAAUCAUGAGUAAAUAUUGAAUCUGGAAGUAUAUGUGGAAACACUGGAAUAGAAAAACAUUAACAGCCAGUUUUUUCAGGGUUAUGCUAAGUAACAUAAAAACGAAUAAAAAAAUCAGUAUUUAGAAAUGCAACAUAUUAUCUAUCAGAAAUCCUACUGAAAAUACAUUCCCAUAAUAUUAUUAAAUUUUUUUAGAAAAAUCCAAAUCCAAAAUAAAAGAACAAAAAGAGACGAAGAAAAUUUUUGCCAUUGGCCUGCUCUGAUAAACUUCACACUGGAUGACUGAUACCUGACAUCAGCUAGUACGAGGUACCCAGACUUAAACAUACUUAAAUACAAGUGUUCCUGAGGAAGUUUUUGGUUCACACAGUGUUGUGAUACAUAUUCGCUUUUAUUUAUUCACUGAUAUGCUUCCCAUACUUUUACUUUAUGACAAUAAACUGACUGAAAUCAGAGAUCCUGUCAAUUUAAUGCCACCUGCUAACACAUCUGUUAGCAAACUUGCUAGAUGUUUUCUUACCCCAUAAAGUACAUGUUAUUCAUAUAAAGUGAGUAAUAAAUGAAUUUUAUUGAAUGAAUUGAUGAA
rnacentral:lncRNA from 10 species